rnacentral:rRNA from 1 species
AUUGAACGCUGGCGGCAUGCCUUACACAUGCAAGUCGAACGGCAGCACGGGAGCAAUCCUGGUGGCGAGUGGCGAACGGGUGAGUAAAGUAUCGGAACGUGCCCAGUCGUGGGGGAUAACGUAGCGAAAGUUACGCUAAUACCGCAUACGAUCUAUGGAUGAAAGGGGGGGAUCGCAAGACCUCGCGCGAUUGGAGCGGCCAUUAUCAGAUUAGGUAGUUGGUGGGGUAAAGGCUCACCAAGCCGACGAUCUGUAGCUGGUCUGAGAGGACGACCAGCCACACUGGGACUGAGACACGGCCCAGACUCCUACGGGAGGCAGCAGUGGGGAAUUUUGGACAAUGGGCGAAAGCCUGAUCCAGCCAUGCCGCGUGCAGGAUGAAGGCCUUCGGGUUGUAAACUGCUUUUGUACGGAACGAAAAGGUUUGGCCUAAUAAGCUGAGCUCAUGACGGUACCGUAAGAAUAAGCACCGGCUAACUACGUGCCAGCCGCCGCGGUAA